AUUGAACGCUGGCGGAAUGCUUUACACAUGCAAGUCGAACGGCAGCACGGACUUCGGUCUGGUGGCGAGUGGCGAACGGGUGAGUAAUGUAUCGGAACGUGCCCAGUCGUGGGGGAUAACGUAGUGAAAAUUACGCUAAUACCGCAUACGAUCUAUGGAUGAAAGCGGGGGAUCGCAAGACCUCGCGCGAUUGGAGCGGCCGAUAUCAGAUUAGGUAGUUGGUGGGGUAAAGGCCCACCAAGCCAACGAUCUGUAGCUGGUCUGAAAGGACGACCAGCCCCACUGGAACUAAGACACGGUCCGGACUCCUGCGGGAGGCAGCAGUGGGGGAUUUUAGACAAUGGGCGAAAGCCUGAUCCAGCCAUUCCGCGUGCAGGAUGAAGGCCCUCGGGUUGUAAACUGCUUUUGUACAGAACGAAAAGGUUUCUACUAAUACUAGGAGCUCAUGGCGGUACUGUAAGAAUAAGCACCGGCUAACUACGUGCCAGCCGCCGCCGUAA
rnacentral:rRNA from 1 species